CCGCCUGUCCAAUCACAGCCACACAGAUUUGAAACAACACCUACAAUGCCGUUACGAUCUAUUGAUGACGUCACGGUACGUUACUGGAGAAGGGACAUAGGUGUCCAGGGGCAGCAACUUUAGAAUCGCCUCCAAAAGCUGUGGGAUUCCUAAACCUAUAAAGACCAGACGCGGUUAGAGAUGACGCCGACACGUCCACUCAGCAGCAACAGGUGAGUCACCUACCGUCUGCUCGGAUCUCUGUUGGACCACAAGCACAAACUGACGACGUCGGGAAGUUUGCAUCAGCGAGAACUGAAUGAGACAGAAAUCACAGGCAUAGAGAAGUUCGGGCGACAGGACGGACGGGAUUCCCUUCAACACUACCAUUUUGUUAGACCCAGAGAGGAGAGAAGCGACGUGUGAUAGUCACCGCUGUCUACUUCCGCAUUCGUCCAAGCUGCAAAACUUCGGUGCAAGCGCCGGCCCGUGCUCACCAGCAAAGGCUCUAUCACUGCCGGUGAUAACGAUGGCUCCGACGUCACCGUCGGCUUCUAGGGCAUCCAGCGCCGUUCCCACCUCCUUCAUCAGGCCGUCACACAGAGCGUUGAGG